rnacentral:rRNA from 1 species
GGGGAAUUUUGGACAAUGGGCGCAAGCCUGAUCCAGCCAUGCCGCGUGCAGGAUGAAGGCCCUCGGGUUGUAAACUGCUUUUGUACGGAACGAAAAGCCUCUUUCUAAUAAAGAGGGGUGAUGACGGUACCGUAAGAAUAAGCACCGGCUAACUACGUGCCAGCAGCCGCGGUAAUACGUAGGGUGCGAGCGUUAAUCGGAAUUACUGGGCGUAAAGCGUGCGCAGGCGGUCGUGCAAGACAGUGGUGAAAUCCCCGGGCUCAACCUGGGAGCUGCAAUUGUGACUGCAAGGCUGGAGUACGGCAGAGGGGGAUGGAAUUCCGCGUGUAGCAGUGAAAUGCGUAGAUAUGCGGAGGAACACCGAUGGCGAAGGCAGUCCCCUGGGCCUGUACUGACGCUCAUGCACGAAA